UAGUCUGCAUUUGCUAAUUCUAAUAUCUGCAUUAGUUGCAGGUUUGUUUUAGCUGUGAUUUUUUACAUAAAGCCCUCCCUUGCCUACACACAAACAACACACACACACACACAAACACACACACACACACACACACCCCGGGAAAUUUACCUGUAGAUUAUUUGAGGCCUGGGCUGAAGCUGAGUUUCUCUAAGAGGGCUUUGCUUCAGUUACCACUUUAAAUUAAGUUCCUGGAUUCAAAUUUUUCAGACUGCCAAGAUAGAGUGGAUUCAGACUGAAACGUUGGUCAUGUAAGGGCUAGCUUGUGGUUAUAAAGUCUCAAGGACGAUUUUAUUAUCUUACCACUUACUGCCAAGAUCAAGUCAACUAAGAUUUCCUGCUGUUCAUUGCUGUGUGCUGGGUUUAUUUCUCAUCUGCUCUUAUACUGCUGGGGUCCAGAUUUACCUGAAGUCUCCUAUGAGAAUAUUCAGUUGCUUCCCCUUUUAUUAAAUUGUUCUUCAGAUUCCUUCAUUUUUUAUCAGUCCAGUGAUGCGCUAAAGCAAAAGGCGAAUUGGAUGUCCAGAUUUGAGCAAAGAGCAGACUGAAGGUUGGGGAACAUUAAAUAGAAGUCAAAGAAUAUGCAAGGGCGCUUCUGGGCAUGACCUAUGAAUGGACAAAUUCCACACUGAUAUUUCCCCUAAAAAGUAAGUAUGUUCAUUAGUAAGACCAUGUUAGCCCCUGGAAGGGAUCCUCUUGAGUCAAGUUUAGCUCAGUUUAGAAACCGGCCAUGCCUACAAUUAGUUUCUGUCCUUAUUUUUUAAUGUGAUUAUUCUUGCAUGUGAAGCUAAAGGAACCCAGAAUUAGUUGACAGGCUUUUUACUUAAAAUGGUUGCCUUUAAAGCAAUUUCCCCAGUUAAUUUGUUUUACUGCCAUCAGUUAAACUGAGGUUAAAAGAAGAAAUAUCUCCAAUAAACUACUGCCAAUCAAGCACAAUUAUCCACUGCUAUGGCAGCAAUUCUAGACCAUAAAAGAACUUCCAAUGCUUCUUGAAAUCAAAAUAUGAGAGGAUGAAAUUAUUUUCCAUUCAGUCAUUAUUAUCUUCUUUGGAUGAAAAGUUUCAAUUUCACCAGAUUCCUCAGAUUUGUUUCUUUUUAGUGUUUUGUUCAAAAGUUGACCCCCACCCCACCCGGAUGGUUUCAUUUCCAAGAACAAAUAAGCAUUCCCACUAACCACUGCCGGCAGCUGGGCUUGUUCUUGGGCAGAGGUCUCAGUGCCUGCUUGUACACAAUAAUUUUUCAAAAGGUAGGAAACCAAUUUCUGGCUUAGAGAGAACUUAGGGAAAAGAAAACAAACAAACAAACAAAAAAGCUAAACACAACUUACCUUCUCUUUGACCUAUUUAUAACAUAUCUGUGCAUUCAGUAUGUAAGUCCAUUAAUACUUUGAGCCCUUAAUAAACAAGGGAAGCCCACCCAGCUUCACUGCACAUAUGCUUAUGAGCUCACCUGAUUUUAAUAUAACUAGCCCCCUUUCUGUACUCUCUCCACCACAUUGAAUGGAAAACUGAACGACUUCUUCACUCUAAAGUUCCACUAGCUCUUUGUGUCUUUUAAGGAGCCAUUUACUUUAUUGAAACAGUGAUUGGAAAAGUGUUUCAGUGCCUAAAAGAUUUGCUCUGGUUCAGAGUUUAAACAAGAGGUGGAGGCUUUGCUAAGGCACUGAGGGGAGUAUGGCUGUAAUAAACCCAUUCUCUCGUUCUCAUUAGGGGUUGGCCUCAGUGUUGGCGCAGUCUUUCUACGGAGUAUAUGAGUUUUUCACACACUACAGAUAACACCCUUGUCUUCAUAUUGUGUCUUUUUGCACACAUGAGUAUAUCAGGGACAUUUUUAUGGAGGCUUCUGCAGUCUCAGCUCAUACCAAUACAAAAAAAAAAAAAAUACCUUCUUUGGGUGUUGUGGAAGAAUAAGAGAGUCAGUGAUGUUUUUCCAGUGGAGUCUGCCAUUCUGACCUUCUUCGUAACAGGUGGGAAAAGUUUUCUUUUAUACUUUGCCCUUCUUCCAUAGAGGUUCAACACCACUGGCAGGACUAGGUGAUGAGAGAAUGAACUGAAGGUUUCUGGAAAGUGAGUUUGUGUGAGUGAAGACAAACGAAUAUGAGCCAUUGUGAUGUCCUGGCAAUCUCUCAUGUUUGGGUCUUUUGCUGUUCUAUGUUCCCAAUAUUUUGGCAUCGAUUCAUUCAGGAAUGUCUAAUUGGCAGAACAUGUUGUAUACACGGAUUGUUUUGGUUUAUUUUUGGCUACAGUAUUUAUGAUACUUACUUCUCCUCCGAUUUGUAAGAAUUCAACUCGAAGAAAGACAGUCAAUGAGGCUUGUCUGAGGAGUUGGCCACAGAGGAUCCCAUAUUCUAGACCAGUUUCUGCCACAUGGUGGGCUGCAAAAUAGGCCUGUGGAUUGGACAGUCUCUUUUGUGUUGCUCUAUAAUACCAACUGCUCUUUCAGUCUUUAAGUCCCAUAGCUCUCAGAUAGUGUCACUUAAGACUUAGGCUAACACUAAAGGUCUGGGGCCUUCUACUUAAGCAAGAAGACAACAAGAGAACUUAGAUCAGUGCUAGGUGAACUUCCAUAGCACUACAUGAUAUAGUUUGGAUCUGUGUCUCCACCAAAUCUCCAUCAAAUUGUAAUCCCCAGUGUUGGAGGUGGGGCCUGGCAAGAGGUGAUUAACUCAUGGGAGCGGAUUUCUCAUGAAUACUUUAGGAUUCUCCCUCUUGGUACUGUCCCUGUGAUAGUGAGUUCUCAUGAGAUCUGUUCGUUUAAAAGUGUGUGGCACCUUCCCCUUCUCUCUCUCCUGCUUCUGCUCCUGCCAGCUAAGAAGCCUGACCCCCUUCACUUUUUGCCAUGAUUGUAAAUUUCCUUAGGCCUCCCUGGAAGCCAAGCGGAUGCCAGCACCAUGCUUCCUGCACAGCCUGCAGAACUGUGAGCCAAUUAAACCUCUUUUCUUUACAAAUUACCCUGUUUCAGGUAAUUCUUUAUAGCAAUGUGAGAAUGGACUAAUGCACAACUGGUGUCAAAUUUUCCUCUAAUUUGGUCUUGAGGUCUCGCUCUCCGGAGAGUGACUAUAAUUCUAGCCCUGACCUGAUGGCUCCAGGGGAGGUGGUCGUGGAUGUUUACAGAAUGCCUUUCAUGGGAUGCUCCUUUAUCCUGGUGGAUGGCCUAAUACCUAAGUGUCUAACUUCUGAUCAGGUGUUUCUCUUAUAGGAAACCUGUUUAUACUAGCAGGUGCCCUUGAAGCUCUUGGCUGGCCUGUGUUCAGUUUAUUCCAACAAAGAUAGCCACUCUCUAGGAGGGCCCUGAGCAGGAGGAGAGUUGUGCUCGGGUGUGCCCAUCAGGUGAGAUGCAAAGAAGGCCACACAACAAAACACAUGAAAUAACACAAAUGGUGUAUUACUUAACAGAUUCAGAGAGAAGAUGGCAGCACACUUUGCAGGGCCAAUGUGAAGGGGAGAAUGGGGACACUCGGCUCAAGCAGAAGGUGAGAAGCAAAUAAGAGAGAAAGAAGGACUGUGGUGCAAAGUCUUCACUGGGGUCCAGGGCAUUACCCAAGCAGAUUACCUGCAGGGAGUUCUAAUUAGUUGACUUACAGCAAGCAGGCACAAGUUUUGUGAAUCACUGUGACCUGUCUGAAUAGUCCAUGCAAGGUGUGGGGAUCAGUGGGGUGAGUCAAGAGAAUUGUAUCCAUCUGUCCUUAGGGAGGUGGUUUUACUGGGAGGUGGUUGUCUAAGGCAGAUAUCUGGAUUGAUCCUAUUGAAAUUUGGGAGGAGUUGAAGAACGGGAAACUGUGUUCAAAAGUGACUAAGUUCUACUUUUGUUAUGAGAAAGUACAACUCUUAUUCAAAAUUACAAGAAUUCAUUCCAACCAGUCACUCUAGGACCUUGGUAUUCUAGCCCUCCAGGACUUGAGUUUGCCUUUUCUGCUGGCUUUUCCUUUUUGUCCUUAGGUCUCCAUUCACCAGGCUCCUAAUUGGUUCUUCUAGUCCUUCCACUGAAUGAAGUUCCACCUCUGAACUCCAGUCAUCUUGUGACUUUGUAUACAUUAUCAUGGAAAAUCUCCUGUGAAACUACAUAUGUACAGUUCAACUUGAAACUUUAAGGUUGAUUGACUGCAUUUUUUUGGCUCAAGCCACCACUGCUGAAUAAAUGAAA